GGGGUUUUAGCUCAAUGGUAGAGCGCUUGCCUAGCAAGCGCAAGGCCCUGGGUUCGGUCCCCAGCUCCG
rfam:Rattus norvegicus chromosome 16, whole genome shotgun sequence.